rnacentral:rRNA from 1 species
AAUCUUUUGGAAACGUCAGAAUGGCGCUUUCCCUUCGGGGACAAAGUGACAGGUGGUGCAUGGUUGUCGUCAGCUCGUGUCGUGAGAUGUUGGGUUAAGUCCCGCAACGAGCGCAACCCUUAUUAUUAGUUGCCAUCAUUAAGUUGGGCACUCUAGGUUGACUGCCGGUGACAAACCGGAGGAAGGUGGGGAUGACGUCAAAUCAUCAUGCCCCUUAUGAUUUGGGCUACACACGUGCUACAAUGGACAAUACAAAGGGCAGCUAAACCGCGAGGUCAUGCAAAUCCCAUAAAGUUGUUCUCAGUUCGGAUUGUAGUCUGCAACUCGACUACAUGAAGCUGGAAUCGCUAGUAAUCGUAGAUCAGCAUGCUACGGUGAAUACGUUCCCGGGUCUUGUACACACCGAGA